rnacentral:misc_RNA from 1 species
GAAAUGCGAUACGUAAUGUGAAUUGCAGAUUUCAGUGAAUCAUCGAAUCUUUGAACGCACAUUGCGCCCGCUAGUAUUCUGGCGGGCAUGCCUGUUCGAGCGUCAUUUCAACCAUCAAGCCCCCGGCUUGCGUUGGAGCCCUGCGGCUGCCGCAGGCUCCCAAAUCCAGUGGCGGGCUCGUCGUCGUACCGAGUGCAGAACGGUUGGUU